UACGUAGGGGGCUAGCGUUGUCCGGAUUUAUUGGGCGUAAAGAGCGUGUAGGCGGCCAACUAAGUCGGAUGUGAAAUCCCCAGGCUUAACCUGGGAACUGCAUCCGAUACUGGAUGGCUUGAAUCCGGGAGAGGGAUGCGGAAUUCCAGGUGUAGCGGUGAAAUGCGUAGAGAUCCGGAGGAACACCGACGGCGCAGGCAGCGUCCUGGCCGCUUGCUGACACUGAGGCACGAAAGCUGGGGGAGCAAACAGG
rnacentral:rRNA from 1 species